GACGAACGCUGGAGGCGUGCUUAACACAUGCAAGUCGAACGAUGAAAUGGAGCUUGCUCCAUGGAUUAGUGGCGAACGGGUGAGUAACACGUGAAUAACCUGCCCUUAAUUUUGGAAUAACCCAGGGAAACCUGGGCUAAUACCGGAUAAGUAAACCUGUGGCAUCACCUGGUUUUGGAAAGUUUUUCGAUUAAGGAUGGAUUCGCGGCCUAUCAGCUUGUUGGUGAGGUAAUGGCUCACCAAGGCGACGACGGGUAGCCGGCCUGAGAGGGUGAACGGCCACACUGGGACUGAGACACGGCCCAGACUCCUACGGGAGGCAGCAGUGGGGAAUAUUGCGCAAUGGACGAAAGUCUGACGCAGCGACGCCUCGUGAGGGACGAAGGUCUUCGGAUUGUAAACCUCUUUCAGCAGGGACGAAGCGAAAGUGACGGUACCUGCAGAAGAAGCACCGGCUAACUAUGUGCCAGCCGCCGCAGUAA
rnacentral:rRNA from 1 species